CCAUCCAACAGAAGAGUUUUACAGAUCUAAAUGAAAACUCCAUCUUCAAGGUCAACUGAGUAUGGAAUGGGGUAGAAACGGCUCAUAUUGCUGGCAGCAGUAGUUCAAUGGAUGCAGGACAUUUCAAAAGUCAACUUGCUUUAACUAAUGUGUAUGUAGAUGCCGUGAAGGUCAGUUUCUAUGCUAAUUUACCUCCCCUUAGGAUGGUUAUUCCUUCCUAAAAGCACAUUAGUCUUAAACUUUAAACAAAAACCAAAACAUGUUAGAGAUCGUCUCAGUCAUUGUAACAUCUAUUUGUUAUUACAGAGACCCUCUCAUUCCCAAUCACAUAACAUCCCUGAGGCAAACAGAGCAGAAACACAGAAACUCACACGGAAACAUACAGUAGGUAAGUAAUGUACUUUUGUAUUGAAGUUUGGCAGCUGAAACAGAAGCGCUGAUGUUUAGCCAGCUGCUCACUGACCACAGUUCAAGAAUCCCAGUCGGUAUCUGCUAGUGACUGUCAGAGGGUGAACAGUCUCCAAGCACAUGAAGACACUUGAAUUGGACUAUGAAGAGUGGGACAUGCACAAAUAGGGUUGCCAAAGACCUUUUUCCCUCCCCCCCCCCCUUUUUUCACUGGCAAUCUGCAAACAUUUUUUACUGACACAUUUUAGAUAAUGUAAAGGUAACCCUUCUACCAGGCCCUGGAGGCAGUAACUUGAGGUAGGUUCAAAUUUAGGGGUUUAGCACCAACUUCCUGAAUCUGGUUCAAGCCCACACCCAGAAACAUGGGAAAAUAAAUUUUAAUUGUGUUUUAAACUGAACAAGCCUCCCCACUUGUAAGCGAUGUUCAACUGAAACAGGGCUUCUUACUAUAGGGGGUGAAGGGAUAAACAUAGCCUC